rnacentral:rRNA from 1 species
CAGGAGGGACGAAGGUUCAGGCGCGAACAGCGUCCUGGACUGACGGUACCUCCAGAAGAAGACCCCGGCUAACUACGUGCCAGCAGCCGCGGUAAUACGUAGGGGGCUAGCGUUGUCCGGAAUCAUUGGGCGUAAAGCGCGCGUAGGCGGCCCGGUAAGUCCGCUGUAAAAAGUCAAAGGCUCAACCUUUGAAUGUCAGUGGAUACUGCCGGGCUAGAGUCCGGAAGAGGCGAGUGGAAUUCCUGGUGUAGCGGUGGAAUGCGCAGAUAUCAGGAGGAACACCAACGGCGAAGGCAGCUCGCUGGGACGGUACUGACGCUGAGGCGCGAAAGCGUGGGGAGCAAACAGGAUUAGAUACCCUGGUAGUCCACGCCGUAAACGAUGGGCACUAGGUGUGGGAGGUGUCGACUCCUCCCGUGCCGGCGCUAACGCAUUAAGUGCCCCGCCUGGGGAGUACGGCCGCAAGGCUA